rnacentral:rRNA from 1 species
CUACGGGCGGCUGCAGUCAAGAAUCUUCCCCAAUGCACGAAAGUGUGAGGGAGCGACGCCGCGUGUAUGAAGACGCCCUUCGGGGUGUAAAGUACUUUUCUAUGGGACGAAUUUCUGACGGUACCAUAGGAAUAAGGGGCUGCUAACCUCGUGCCAGCAGCAGCGGUAAUACGAGGGCCCCAAGCGUUAUCCGGAUUUAUUGGGCGUAAAGGGUCCGUAGGCGGCUCGACGCAUCUCCUGUUAAAUCUAUCGGCUCAACCGGUAGGCCGCGGGAGAGAUGAUCGAGCUAGAGGCCGGGAGAGGCGAGUAGAAUUGCUGGUGUAGGGGUUAAAUCCGUUAAUAUCAGCAGGAAUACCAAAUGCGAAAGCAGCUCGCUGGAACGUGCCUGACGCUCAGGGACGAAAGCGUGGGUAGCGAAUGGGAUUAGAUACCCCCGUAGUC